UUUUGGAUAGCUCAACUGGAUAGAGCAUCGGACACUUAAUCCGAAGUUGCGGGUUCGAUUCCCGCUCCGAGAA
rnacentral:tRNA from 1 species